UACGGAGGAUGCAAGCGUUAUCCGGAAUGAUUGGGCGUAAAGCGUCCGCAGGUGGCAAUGUAAGUCUGCUGUCAAAGCGUCUGGCUCAACCAGAUAAAGGCAGUGGAAACUACAUAGCUAGAGUAAGGUAGGGGUAGAGGGAAUCCCUGGUGUAGCGGUGAAAUGCGUAGAGAUCAGGAAGAACACCGGUGGCGAAAGCGGCGACCUGGGUAGAUACUGACGCUGAGGUGCGAAAGCGUGGGGAGCAAACAGG
rnacentral:rRNA from 1 species